rnacentral:rRNA from 1 species
AACGUAGGGUGCAAGCGUUAAUCGGAAUUACUGGGCGUAAAGCGUACGCAGGCGGCUUUGCAAGACAGGUGUGAAAUCCCCGGGCCUAACCUGGGAACUGCAUUUGUGACUGCAUAGCUAGAGUUUGUCAGAGGGGGGUGGAAUUCCACGUGUAGCAGUGAAAUGCGUAGAUAUGUGGAGGAACACCGAUGGCGAAGGCAGCCCCCUGGGAUGUGACUGACGCUCAUGUACGAAAGCGUGGGGAGCAAACAGG